rnacentral:rRNA from 1 species
AAUAUUGGACAAUGGGCGAAAGCCUGAUCCAGCCAUGCCGCGUGUGUGAAGAAGGUCUUCGGAUUGUAAAGCACUUUAAGCUGGGAGGAAGGGAUGUAGGUUAAUACCCUGCAAUUUUGACGUUACCAACAGAAUAAGCACCGGCUAACUUCGUGCCAGCAUCCGCGGUAAUACGAAGGGUGCAAUCGUUAAUCUGAAUUACUAGUGGUAAAGCGAGCGUGUGUGGUUCGUUAAGUUGGAAGUGAAAGCCCCGGGCUCAACCUGGGAACUGCUUUCAAAACUGGCAAGCUAGAGUAUGGCAGAGGGUGGUGGAAUUUCCUGUGUAGCGGUGAAAUGCGUAGAUAUAGGAAGGAACACCAGUGGCGAAGGCGACCACCUGGGCUAAUACUGACACUGAGGUGCGAAAGCGUGGGGAGCAAACAGG